rnacentral:rRNA from 1 species
CCUACGGGAGGCAGCAGUGAGGAAUAUUGGUCAAUGGGCGCGAGCCUGAACCAGCCAAGUCGCGUGAGGGAAGACGGCCCUACGGGUUGUAAACCUCUUUUGCCGGGGAGCAACGGGCGCCACGUGUGGCGCCACUGAGAGUACCCGGAGAACAAGCAUCGGCUAACUCCGGGCGAGCAGCCGCGGUAAUACGGGGGAUGCGAGUGUUAUCCGGAUUUAUUGGGUUAAAGGGGUGCGUAGGCGGAGCGGUAAGUCAGGGGUCAAAUUGAGGGGCUCAACCCUUUCCCGCCAUUGAAACUGGCGCUCUUGAGUGGAAGAGAAGUAUGCGGAAUGCGUGGUGUAGCGGUGAAAUGCAUAGAUAUCACGCAGAACCCCGAUUGCGAAGGCAGCAUGCCGGCUUCCUACUGACGCUGAAGCACGAAAGCGUGGGGAUCGAACAGGAUUAGAUACCCGAGUAGUC